UGAAACAUAAUCUAGGUUGUA
rnacentral:siRNA from 1 species